GUAGGUGAACCUGCGGAAGGAUCAUUAACACGUAUCCAACGUUAAACCCCCGUGCAUUUUAACCCUGCUCUCUUCGCCUUGACAAGCAAUCUCUGGUAAAUCACGCGAACAGUUUGAUUCAGAGACUUCUUCGAGACGCGUGGAUGGAGCGGUAGAGCAAUUAGACUUGGUUUCCGCAGAUCGUUGACCCUCACGGUCAACGGACAGGUCUCUGGGCUUACGCCCCAUAUUAACCCCCAAUGUAGGUGAAAGUAGUGCUGCGUAAAGUAGGCACACAAAAACGAACAACUGUUAACAAUGGAUAUCUUGGUUCUC
rnacentral:misc_RNA from 1 species